rfam:Aedes aegypti strain Liverpool supercont1.21 genomic scaffold, whole genome shotgun sequence.
GGGGGGGUGGGCGGGGGUAGGUUACGCUUUCGCUUCAUAAGCGGAAGGUCAUGGGUUCGAUUCCCAGCCCCUCCA